rnacentral:rRNA from 1 species
CUGCGUCCUAUCAGCUAGUUGGUGGGGUAGCGGCCUACCAAGGCGACGACGGGUAGCUGGUCUGAGAGGAUGAUCAGCCACACUGGCACUGGAACACGGGCCAGACUCCUACGGGAGGCAGCAGUGAGGAAUUUUGCGCAAUGGCCGCAAGGCUGACGCAGCAACGCCGCGUGGGUGAUGAAGGCCUUCGGGUCGUAAAGCCCUGUCAGGUGGGAAGAAAGGCCUUGAUAAGAAACGGUUGAGGUUUGACGGUACCACCAGAGGAAGCACCGGCUAACUCCGUGCCAGCAGCCGCGGUAAUACGGAGGGUGCGAGCGUUAUUCGGAAUUACUGGGCGUAAAGCGCGUGUAGGCGGGGAUGCAAGUCUGAUGUGAAAGCCCUGGGCUUAACCUGGGAAGUGCAUUGGAAACUGCAUUUCUUGAGUACUGGAGAGGAAGGGGGAAUUCCCGGUGUAGAGGUGAAAUUCGUAGAGAUCGGGAGGAAUACCAGUGGCGUAGGCGCCCUUCUGGACGGUAACUGACGCUGAGACGCGAAAGCGUGGGGAGCAAACAGGAUUAGAUACCCUGGUAGUCCACGCUGUAAACGAUGAUCACUAGGUGUAGCGGGUACUCAUUCCUGCUGUGCCGUAGCUAACGCG